GGGGAAUUUUCCGCAAUGGGCGAAAGCCUGACGGAGCAAUACCGCGUGAGGGAGGAAGGCUCUUGGGUUGUAAACCUCUUUUCUCAGGGAAGAAGAAAAUGACGGUACCUGAGGAAUAAGCAUCGGCUAACUCCGUGCCAGCAGCCGCGGUAAUACGGAGGAUGCAAGCGUUAUCCGGAAUGAUUGGGCGUAAAGGGUCCGCAGGUGGUAGUGUAAGUCUGCUGUUAAAGAGUCACGCUCAACGUGAUCAAAGCAGUGGAAACUACACAACUAGAGUACGGUAGGGGCAGAAGGAAUUCCUGGUGUAGCGGUGAAAUGCGUAGAUAUCAGGAAGAACACCGGUGGCGAAAGCGUUCUGCUAGACCUGUACUGACACUGAGGGACGAAAGCUAGGGGAGCG
rnacentral:rRNA from 1 species